UGAUUUUUCUUUCUCUUUUUCUCGUGCAUCACGUAUACUCUGGGGGUUAAUUUCACUCUUUUGACUCUUUUUCUACUCAAAUUUUUCGAGCAUUUUGUAGGUGUUAGAGUCUUAAGUCUCGGCAAGUGCAUUUUUUUUCUUUUUCUUUUCUUUUUUUUUUCCUUUUUUUUUCUUUUUUGGACAUACACAAUUCUUUUCUUUUUGUAUCUUCUCUUAUUAUGCAC
rnacentral:lncRNA from 1 species